ensembl:lncRNA
CACGCCGCCGCCGCCCCGCGCUGCCCGGCGCGGAGGUCCCGGUCCCGAGCGCGGAGCCGCGGUCCCUCUUCGGGGAGAGCGCUGGGAAUGAGCGCUGGGAAUGAGCGCAGCGUUAAAGCCCCGCUGAUACGCGUAAUGAAUCCAAAGGAACCCGCGGCAGCAGAGUUAACACCUCCGCGGGAGGAGGGGGGAAAUAAUCGAGGAAGCAAUUAAUAAAGGGCUUUAAAAAAUCAAUUUCCCCCUGCGCGAAUUGGAAAUGAUGAUGGAGGGGACAGGGAUGGAUCGCUGGGUGUCGGCAGCGCGAGUUGUUGCGCCUUCGUGUCUCGGCCGCGUCCUUCCCCCGGAGUUGGCGGAGGGGCCGCGGACGCCGCGCACAGUGACACGCGGAGCUGUCAGCCCGAACGCUCCGUACGCGUCGCACGGCCCCGCAUGAAUAAUACGGGCAAAUGGGAGACGUGGGAGCAAUGUCUUAAAGGAAAAAAAAAAAAGAAAGAAAGAAAAAAAAAACAGAAAAAGAAAAAAAGCAGACUCCGGAGCCACACUCAGCCAUGUGCCUGCGUCGGAGUUUAUGCUUAUGCGCGGCGAUGUUCAAUGCAUUUAGGCUGCCAGUUUGCCUUCCCCGGACCGUUCUCCCCACUCCCAGCCUCGCUCCCCUCCGCUACCCCUGGGGCCCCCGUCCUCGAGGACCAGGACAAACCAACCCUCCUCCCCAAAAACAGCUGCCAGAGGGAGGGAAGCCCCGUGGCGCUCCCGUUUCUCGCUGCCCCCCGGGACAGCCGUCACCCUCCCCCGGCUCCACCAGCGCGGAAAAUGAGCGGCCCGACGGCACCGACGGCUGCGAGGAGGCGGCCUUUUGGGGAGCACGGGCGUGAGGACACCCGCCUCAGGGUCACUCCCAAUGCAAAAAGCGAAACAAAGCAUCGGAAAAGGAAAGGAGGGGAAAAAGUGGGAAAAAUAAAUAAAUAAGAAUGAAAAGAAGAGGUACGGAUCGCAGCUCCUCCCCCCUGGGGACCCGGCCGACGGCCAACGCAGGGGCGCGGGGGUUGCCGGGCCUGUCCCGUCGCAGGUGGGGAGCGCCCCCCCCCGCAACGUACGGGCAGCGAGGGCACGAAGAGGAGCGCGGACGAAGGCACGGAGCUCCUGGGACACUGUCGCAAAACUACUUCGCCCCCGCGGGGGAGACAUCCCGGCACCCUAUGGAGCACCCGGACCUCAUCCUUCUCAGCACGGCCCCAAGGAGCUCCGCGCCACCAACCCCCCCCAACUCCACCCCAACUCCAACCCCUCCCCGGAGCUCGGCGUUGAUCCCUUCCCUUCCCAACUUCCACCCCACUUUCUUCCCCCUUUCCCCAUCCUCCUUCCUCCGGCUCCGCGGGACUGAACACCCCGCAAAGCGCCCCCCCUUCCCCCGCCGCCCCGUCCCCGAAAGCAGCCCGCACCCCGAUGACCGCCCCGCGUGCUCUCAACCCGGCGCCGGCAGCUCUCGGGGCAGCAUAAAGCGGCACUGUGCGCUCAUCGCCCGGCGGGGAGCGGCCCCGCACCCCGUGCCACAGAAGAGCGCUUAUUUCUCCUAAUAUCCCUAAAUCGGUGGGUUUUGUUCCCCCUGCAAAGGGACCCAUUGACCGUGAGGGGAUUUCUCCGAGCGAAACGAGGGGAAUCAUUUUGAAUGAGCGUCAGCGUUGCCUCGGCUUUAAGCAUUUCCAAAGCAAAGCGUUGGAUUUCAUAUUUCUAAGAGGAAUUUACGUUUGUACAUUGACUCACGGCGUGACGUAGAGCGGAGUCGAUUCCCUCCCUCCCCCUCCCUCCCUCCCCCCUCUCCCCCCCCCCGCCGCCCCCCCACCCCCCAUUCAGCUGAUUUCGGUCGGAAUGGGGCAAAUAAGCCAACAGCGAAACCCCAGCUCGGAUCCGCGCGGUAAGGAGCGCUGCGCGGGGAGCGCCGCUCGGAACACAGAGCGCAGCCCUCUCCUCCACCGCAGCCCUCUGCCCCCCUCCUCCCUCCCGUGAUUAAUUCCGGGGCUGUAAUCAUGGACAUCGCACAUCAAACCCUCCCGCCCGCUCUACGGACUCCCGCAGGUUUUUAUUGGUUUACAUGAAAGCGAGUAAACAUCUUUCCGAGGCUGCCCUUUCAAUCGGGCUCCAUUUCCAGGGCGCAUCAUUGCGAGGACAAUUUGUUUUAAUAAUAAGAAUGGAUGCGGCGUUAAUGGGUUUCAAUUUGUGUUUAGGAAAAAAAAAAAAAAAGAAAGAAAGAAAGAAAGAAAGAAAGCAUUAAAUAUUUAUCAGUAUCGAUCGAGGGGGUCAGGAUUUUACAGCCGUCCUCGCACAUUUCAUAGAUGGGAUUCUUUUCCCUUUUUUUUUUUUUUCCUUUUUUUUUUUCUUUUUUUUUCCUUU